CUCCAGCGAGCUCCGCGCGUCCAAGAGGGAGCUAAGGGCUCCCUGGUUCAAAGGGCCGCAGCCCCGAGGGGAUGCCCUCCUCGUGUGCCCCGGGGUGCAGAAGCAGACUGCAGGGCGGUGGGACCAGCCUGGGCCACGAGACCAUAGAUUUCCAAUGUGAGAGGGGUAAUUAGCACUUUCCUGAGGUAGAGCCACAGGAAUGGAUCAUACAUCUUCCUGCCCCAUCUGAAAAAUCCAACUCAGUGAUUGAUUUUACAGCUGCCCAUGACUGCAAAUUCCUCAGCAAGAAUUCCAGCAGGUGAAGAGAGAUCUCUCUAUGGCUCAUCUUGAAGAGCAUUGUUUGAGCAAAGAAUGAAGACAACAAUUUAAAUGGACAAGCAUCGCUUCCCCCAGAAUGCUCUUGGAGUGAGAUCUUCCUUGUUCACAUCCUUUUCACGGAAAACAAAGGAAAAUAUCUCUAUAAAAAUGAGGAAAUUCAUUAAAUGCAAAGGGAAUUUUCUUUGAAAGUAUUUUUUUUUUAAAAACUCUACUUCAUUCUUAGCCAGGUGUGGUGGUAUACACCUUAAAGCCCAGCACUUGGGAGGUAAAGGCAGGUAGAUCUCUGGGAUUGAGACCAGCUUGGUCUGCAGAGAGAGUCCCAGGAAAGCUAGAUCUACACAGAGAAACCCUAUUUAAAAAAAAAAGAAAACAUCUGCUUUAUUCCUCAUAUACAGUGUGAGAGGACCCCUUAUAGCAUUAAAUACCUUACGGUUUGUAUGUGUGUGGCGCAAAUGCAGAAGCCACCGGCUGAGCAGAGCCAGGCAAACACGUAAAGGCUGAGCUGAAUUCAUAGCAUCUUUCAGGAAAUGUGUUUGGGAAAUACAGCCAGGGAUCUUGGGAUUAUCUUGAUUUUAAUUUUUACAUUCCGUGAGGAGAGUAAUAAACCUUCUUUAUAAUUAAAUAGAAUGGUUUUCUAUCUUAUGAAAUAGAUGCCUCAGGCAUUGCUACUAAUGAAGCAAAAUACAAACAAAACAUGUAGUCAUCCAAGGACUCUGUUUUCAACAGAAUUUCCCAAAUAAGUCUCUUCUCUUUUUGCCCUCAAAUAAUAUCAUUCUUGCUAUUGUUCUUUCAUUAGUUUUACAAUGUCAGUAUCAAGAUG